UGGCCGGAGGCUCGUCACUCGGCGGGGAGGGGUCCCAGGCUGGUGGAGAAGUGGCGCGCCUCAGCGGAUGCAAUUUACCUGCCUCCCUGCCUGGCUUAGGUUGAUGGGAUUUGUUACCUUCCUCAUCAAACUGCCAGUCAUCUGCAGGAGAAAUGCAGGCCCCAAAUGCUGAUAUGAAGAGCACGAAUUAUACUGAAUUGGGAGAUUUUGUGACUGUUGUGUACACUAGAAUCUGGAAGUCAGGAUGAUAAGGAUAAUUCCUCUUGAGCACAAAAUCUGUAAGAACAGGGUUCAAUUAGAACAAGUCAACAUGGACCAAAGUGAUCUAGAGGUACCGUGUGCAACUAGCUUGGAAGGUUGAUAUCAUCCUACCGUCAGUCAAAAGUCAAGAUGUGAUCCUCAGCAGGACUGUCUGGAAACUUCCCUGGGACCCCUCCCCACCCACCCAUUAAAGGAGGACAAGAGAGACAUACUUCCUCUGCUUCUGAAAGAACCCACUCUCUCCCUUGAGAGUGUCCCCUUUUCCCCUUUCCUAUUCCCUCUAAUAAACAUAUACUUAUUA